rnacentral:rRNA from 1 species
AGAGUUUGAUCCUGGCUCAGAAUGAACGCUGGCGGCGUGCUUAACACAUGCAAGUCGAACGAGAAAACCCUUCGGGGUGAGUAAAGUGGCAGACGGGUGCGUAACAUGUAGGAAUCUACCCUUUUGUGGAGAAUACCCUCGAGAAAUCGAGGCUAAUACUGCAUAAGUCCCCUCGGGGAGAAAGACGGCCUCUUGCCGUCGCUGAAGGAUGAGCCUGCGGACUAUUAGCUAGUUGGUAAGGUAAAGGCUUACCAAGGCUGUGAUGGUUAACCGGCCUGAGAGGGCGGUCGGUCACAUUGGAACUGCGACACGGUCCAGACUCCUACGGGAGGCAGCAGUGGGGAAUAUUGCACAAUGGGCGAAAGCCUGAUGCAGCGACGCCGCGUGGAGGAUGACGGCCUUCGGGUUGUAAACUCCUGUUAAGUGGGAAGAAUGCCUUGUAGUUAAUGGCUGCAAGGGGUGACGGUACCACUAGAGAAAGCUCCGGCUAACUUCGUGCCAGCAGCCGCGGUAAUACGAAGGGAGCUAGCGUUAUUCGGAAUUACUGGGUGUAAAGGGCGUGUAGGCGGUCGAUUAAGUCAGCUGUUAAAUUUCUUGGCUCAACCAAGGAUGUGCAGUUGAUACUGGUUGACUAGAGGAUAAGAGAGAGAAGUGGAAUUCUCGGAGUAGCGGUAAAAUGCGUAGAUCUCGAGAGGAACACCAGUUGCGAAGGCGGCUUCUUGGCUUAUUUCUGACGCUAAAGCGCGAAAGCGUGGGGAGCAAACAGGAUUAGAUACCCUGGUAGUCCACGCCGUAAACGAUGAUCACUAGAUGUGGGUUUUGUUUAUCGAGAUCUGCAUCGAAGCUAACGCGUUAAGUGAUCCACCUGGGGAGUACGGUCGCAAGAUUAAAACUCAAAGGAAUUGACGGGGGUCCGCACAAGCGGUGGAACAUGUGGUUUAAUUCGACACUACGCGAGAAACCUUACCUAGGCUUGACAUGUAUCCGCUACCCAUAGAAAUAUGGGGUUUUAAGUUUACUUAAACGGUUACACAGGUGCUGCAUGGCUGUCGUCAGCUCGUGUCGUGAAAUGUCUGGUUAAGUCCUUUAACGAGCGCAACCCUUACCGUCAGUUGCUACCCUUUAUUGGGGCACUCUGGCGGGACUGCCUAGGAAACUAGGAGGAAGGUGGGGAUGACGUCAAGUCCGCAUGGCCCUUAUGUCUAGGGCUACACACGUGUUACAAUGGCUAAAACAAAGGGGAACGAACCUGCGAAGGUGAGUAAAUCCCAGAAAAUUAGUCUAAGUUCGGAUUGGAGUCUGAAAUUCGACUCCAUGAAGUUGAAAUCGCUAGUAAUCGCGUAUCAGAACGACGCGGUGAAUACGUUCUCGGAUCUUGUACACACCGCCCGUCACACCACGAAAGUCGUUUGCACCCGAAAUUGCCUUAACUAACUCGUAAGAGAGGUGGGUAAUGAAGGUGUGGAUGGUGAUUGGGGUGAAGUCGAAACAAGGUA